rnacentral:rRNA from 1 species
CUAACUACGUGCCAGCAGCCGCGGUAAUACGUAGGGCGCAAGCGUUGUCCGGAAUUAUUGGGCGUAAAGAGCUCGUAGGCGGUUUGUCGCGUCUGCUGUGAAAGCCCGGGGCUCAACCCCGGGUCUGCAGUGGGUACGGGCAGACUAGAGUGCAGUAGGGGAGACUGGAAUUCCUGGUGUAGCGGUGAAAUGCGCAGAUAUCAGGAGGAACACCGAUGGCGAAGGCAGGUCUCUGGGCUGUUACUGACGCUGAGGAGCGAAAGCAUGGGGAGCGAACAGGAUUAGAUACCCUGGUAGUCCAUGCCGUAAACGUUGGGCACUAGGUGUGGGGGACAUUCCACGUUUUCCGCGCCGUAGCUAACGCAUUAAGUGCCCCGCCUGGGGAGUACGGCCGCAAGGCUAAAACUCAAAGGAAUUGACGGGGGCCCGCACAAGCGGCGGAGCAUGCGGAUUAAUUCGAUGCAACGCGAAGAACCUUACCAAGGCUUGACAUUCACCGGACCGCCCCAGAGAUGGGGUUUCCCUUCGGGGCUGGUGGACAGGUGGUGCAUGGUUGUCGUCAGCUCGUGUCGUGAGAUGUUGGGUUAAGUCCCGCAACGAGCGCAACCCUCGUUCUAUGUUGCCAGCACGUGAUGGUGGGGACUCAUAGGAGACUGCCGGGGUCAACUCGGAGGAAGGUGGGGAUGACGUCAAAUCAUCAUGCCCCUUAUGUCUUGGGCUUCACGCAUGCUACAAUGGCCGGUACAAAGGGUUGCGAUACUGUGAGGUGGAGCUAAUCCCAAAAAGCCGGUCUCAGUUCGGAUUGAGGUCUGCAACUCGACCUCAUGAAGUCGGAGUCGCUAGUAAUCGCAGAUCAGCAACGCUGCGGUGAAUACGUUCCCGGGCCUUGUACACACCGCCCGUCAAGUCACGAAAGUUGGUAACACCCGAAGCCGGUGGCCUAACCCC